rnacentral:SRP_RNA from 1 species
CCGUGCUAGACGGGGAGGUAGCGGUGCCCUGUAACUCGCAAUCCGCUAUAGCGGGGUUGAAUUCCUGUUUAGAGGUACUGUCGAUGUGAGGUCUGGUCCCUGGUUGCUGUGUUGACGGUUGGGUCCUUCGCAAUGAGCGCUUGUGAACCUGGUCAGGUCCGGAAGGAAGCAGCCAUAAGCAGGUUGUCUCUUGUGCCGAAGGGCGGCCUAGCCCGAGCAGUCAAUCAGGAUUGCCGCUUGGAUCGCGGUUAUCGAUGACAGGUGCACGG